rnacentral:rRNA from 1 species
GACAUGGGAAGCUUGCUUCCUAUGAAAUCGAGUGGCAAACGGGUGAGUAACGGGUAAACAACCUGCCCUUCGGAUGGGGAUAACAGCCGGAAACGGCUGCUAAUACCGAAUACGAUCCUUUCGUCGCAUGACGGAAAGAAGAAAGGAUGGCCUCUAUACAAAGCUAUCGCCGAAGGAGGGGUUUGCGUCUGAUUAGCUGGAUGGAGGGGUAACGGCCCAACAAGGCGAUGAUCAGUAGCCGGUCUGAGAGGAUGAACGGCCACAUUGGGACUGAGACACGGCCCAGACUCCUACGGGAGGCAGCAGUGGGGAAUCUUCCGCAAUGGACGAAAGUCUGACGGAGCAACGCCGCGUGAGUGAAGAAGGUCUUCGGAUUGUAAAGCUCUGUUAUACGGGACGAAAAAGACGGAUGCCAACAGUAUCCGUCCGUGACGGUACC